GACGAACGCUGGCGGCGUGCUUAACACAUGCAAGUCGAACGGAAAGGCCCUGCUUUUGUGGGGUGCUCGAGUGGCGAACGGGUGAGUAACACGUGAGUAACCUGCCCUUGACUUUGGGAUAACUUCAGGAAACUGGGGCUAAUACCGGAUAGGAGCUCCUGCUGCAUGGUGGGGGUUGGAAAGUUUCGGCGGUUGGGGAUGGACUCGCGGCUUAUCAGCUUGUUGGUGGGGUAGUGGCUUACCAAGGCUUUGACGGGUAGCCGGCCUGAGAGGGUGACCGGCACAUUGGGACUGAGAUACGGCCCAGACUCCUACGGGAGGCAGAAGUGGGGAAUAUUGCACAAUGGGCGGGAGCCUGAUGCAGCAACGCCGCGUGCGGGAUGACGGCCUUCGGGUUGUAAACCGCUUUCGCCUGUGACGAAGCGUGAGUGACGGUAAUGGGUAAAGAAGCACCGGCUAACUACGUG
rnacentral:rRNA from 1 species